UCAUGGUCGUUGGCGACCAAGUCCUUCCCAUCAGUCCGGAAGAGCUCGUUAUGAGCAUAGAACUGAUCUGGUGAGCCUGCAGUUGUGGCACCACAAUGAUCAGCCAAGUACGUCCUUCUGCCGUCAUUGAUGGCAAGUCCAUCCGCAACAUGAGAAACAGUAGGUAUCAAAUCACCGUUGGGUUUCAAGAAUGCAUCUCGGCUACUGUUUCUCCAAGCUUCAGAGUCCAGUUUUGAUCCAUUCUCCAGCUGCCUGGAAAGUUGCAUAUGCUCGUUUAGUUUACUGGAAUGCCCGAGUAUAU
rnacentral:lncRNA from 1 species